UCCGUGGUGAGCCUCCUGCAUUUCACCUGUAUUUUCUGAGCAUUGUUUUCAGGUGGGCGUGUCUGAGAGUCUGAGAGUCUCCAGCUGCAGCCAAUCCAGUCAUUACGGCCCAGGGGAUUUAAGGAGCAGUGUGGCACUUCACUUCGCCGGAUGAUUACUCUAUCUUGGGUAGCUCUAGCCUUAACCUGUCUUGAUCCUGUGAAAUUUCUAGUUCCUAGUCACUAACCUGUAUUUGAAGCUCUGCUUGAUUUCUGUCGUCAGAAGAAAUCCUGAUAAUCCUCCCCUGCUCUGCUCCAGGUUUCUCUUUCACACUCCACCACCUCCAUAACCAGCUUGGACUCCUGCACACCAGAUCACGCCGUCUCCUCCCCUGGCCGCUCGCUCUCAGCCGCUCACCUGCCUCCACCAAACCGCUGCUCCUACCUACUCUCUGGACCAACAGUCCCAUCACCUUCUGGAGCUUUCCUGCUCACCCGGACCUGACCAGUCCCUCCAGAGGUUCUCACCACUACUGCAAUCAAGUUCCAUCCUGAAAUCUUGCUGCCAGCCUGCCCGUCGUCUGUUCCCCUCG